AACGAACGCUGGCGGUAUGCCCAACACAUGCAAGUCGAACGGUAACAGGGACUUCGGUCUGCUGACGAGUGGCGAACGGGUGUGUAACGCGUGGAUACCUGCCCCGAGGUGGGGGAUAACAACUGGAAACAGUUGCUAAUACCGCACGCUCUCCAAGGAGGAAAGGCUUCGGCCGCCUUGGGAGGGUCCGCGUCGGAUUAGCUUGUUGGUGAGGUAACGGCUCACCAAGGCGACGAUCCGUAGCUGGUCUGAGAGGAUGAUCAGCCACACUGGGACUGAGACACGGCCCAGACUCCUACGGGAGGCAGCAGUGGGGAAUAUUGCGCAAUGGGGGAAACCCUGACGCAGCAAUACCGCGUGAGUGAUGAAGGCCUUCGGGUUGUAAAGCUCUUUUAGUAGGGACGAUAGUGACGGUACCUACAGAAAAAACUCCGGCUAACUCCGUGCCAGCAGCCGCGGUAAUU
rnacentral:rRNA from 1 species